AUCCUACGGGGGGCAGCAGUGAGGAAUAUUGGUCAAUGGACGCGAGCCUGAACCAGCCAAGUAGCGUGCAGGAUGACGGCCCUAUGGGUUGUAAACUGCUUUUAUAUGAGAAUAAUUUUUUCCACGCGUGCGUUUUUGUAUGUAUCAUAUGAAUAAGGAUCGGCUAAUUCCGUGCCAGCAGCCGCGGUAAUACGGAAGAUCCGAGCGUUAUCCGGAUUUAUUGGGUUUAAAGGGAGCGUAGAUUGGUUGUUAAGUGUGUUGUGAAAGGUUGCGGCUCA
rnacentral:rRNA from 1 species